rnacentral:rRNA from 1 species
UACGUAGGGGGCAAGCGUUGUCCGGAAUUUAUUGGGCGUAAAGAGCUUGUAGGCGGUCUGUCGCGUCUGCUGUGAAAAUCCGGGGCUCAACCCCGGACUUGCAGUGGGUACGGGCAGACUAGAGUGUGGUAGGGGAGACUGGAAUUCCUGGUGUAGCGGUGAAAAUGCGCAGAUAUCAGGAGGAACACCGAUGGCGAAGGCAGGUCUCUGGGCCACUACUGACGCUGAGAAGCGAAAGCAUGGGGAGCGAACAGG